CCCACCAGUGCUCGGGCGACCGCAGUGCUCGCUGGUUUCAUUUUCCUCCAGUCUGCCCCUUAAAACCUCAAGGGAGCCGGAGGUGCACUCUGACGGACACGCUGCUGAGCCAGCAAUCUGUCAGCAGUUACAAGGGCGGGUUGUGAGGGUUACCAGUCGGUCUACUGGUUCUAAGGGUUACCAGUCGGCCUACAGGUUGGUUCACAGAGUGAACAGUCGGUCUACAAGUUGGUUCUGAGGGUUACCAGUCAGUCAACUGGUUCUUAGGGUUACCAGUUGGUUUACAGGUUGAUUUUUUUGGGUUACCAGUCGGUCUACAAGUUGUUUCUUUGGGUUACCAGUCGGAUUACAAGUUGGUUCUCAGGGUUACCAGUUGGUCUACAGGUUUGUUUCUUUGGGUUACCAGUUGGAAAGUUUAGAUUCUUUGGGUUACCAGUCGGACUACAAGUUGGUUUCUUAGCAUUACAAGGUGGUCUUGAGUUUGGUCUCUCAACCUUACAAGUUGGACUACAGGUUUAUUUUUAAGGUAACCAGGUGGUCUACAUGUUGUUUCUCUCAGAGUUCAAAAGUUAAUCUACAAGUUGGUUAAUGAAGUUCACAAGUUGAUGCAGAUGCUGGCUACUCAAUGUUUCAGGUUGGCCUAAUGAUUAGUGUCUCAGGGUUAGUCUUUCCUCCAGGCUGGUUUCUGAAGGCUACAAGUCGACGUCAGAUUGGGCUGGUCCUGAAACGGUCAGAGCUUCGGGACAGUUUGAAUCUGGGUCUAGAUCCUAGAGAGCCGCUGGUCCAUGAGGAGGCCUGCAGUGCUGGGCUCCAUCCCACACCCCUCCAUCAGAACCCUCCUCUGAAAC
ensembl:lncRNA